GAUGAACGCUGGCGGCAUGCUUUACACAUGCAAGUCGAACGGUAGAGGGGGCAACCCCUCGAGAGUGGCGAACGGGUGAGUAAUAUAUCGGAACGUGCCCAGUCGUGGGGGAUAACGUAGCGAAAGUUACGCUAAUACCGCAUACGAUCUAAGGAUGAAAGCGGGGGAUCGCAAGACCUCGCGCGAUUGGAGCGGCCGAUAUCAGAUUAGGUAGUUGGUGGGGUAAAGGCUCACCAAGCCAACGAUCUGUAGCUGUCUGAGAGGACGACCAGCCACACUGGAACUGAGGCACAGUCCAGACUCCUACGGGAGGCAGCAGUGGGGAAUUUUGGACAAUGGACGCAAGUCUGAUCCAGCCAUUCCGCGUGCAGGAUGAAGGCCCUCGGGUUGUAAACUGCUUUUGUACGGAACGAAAAGGUCUCUCUUAAUACGGGGGACUCAUGACGGUACCGUAAGAAUAAGCACCGGCUAACUACGUGCCAGCCGCCGCCGUAA
rnacentral:rRNA from 1 species